CUGCGUGCCGUGAUCAUGGACGCGCCGGGCUCGGGCAAGGGCACCGCGUCAGCGCGCAUCCCGCAGCACUUCGAGCUCAAGCACCUCUCCAGCGGCGACCUGCUGUGGCACAACAUGCUGCAGGGCACAGAAAUUGGUGUGUUAGCCAAGACUUUCAUUGACCAAGGGAAGCUUAUUCCAGAUGAUGUCAUGACUUGACUGGCCCUGCAUGAGCUGAAAAAUCUCACCGAGUGCAGCUGGCUGUUGGAUGGUUUUCCCAGGACACUUCCACAGGCAGAAGCCCUGGACAAAGCCUAUCAGAUAGACACAGUGAUCAAGCUGAAUGUGCCCUUUGAGGUCAUUAAACAGCGUCUCACUGCUCGCUGGAUUCAUCUAGGCAGCGGCAGAGUCUACAACAUUGAAUUCAACCCUCCCAAAACUGUGGGUAUUGAUGAUCUGACUGGAGAGCCUCUGGUUCAACGUGAGGAUGAUAAACCGGAGACAGUGACCAAGAGACUCAAGGCUUACGAAGCCCAAACAGAGCCGGUCCUGGAAUAUUACCAGAAAAAAGGGGUGUUGGAAACAUUUUCUGGAACAGAAACAAACAAGAUCUGGCCACAUGUAUAUGCCUUCCUACAAACAAAAGUGCCACAGAAGAGCCAGCAAGCCUCCAUUACUCCAUGAGAGAAAAGCACGUACCUAGUAAGAUGAGCAGAAGAAACUCUUCUGUGCCUUUCGCAGCUUGU